UUCGCUGUGGAAAUCAGACAAUGGUGGAAAACAGGUGGGAUCAGCAUCUUUUCUGGAUCUGUGUGUAGAAGUGGCUUCUGUCUGUGGAAGGUUCUAUCUACAGGGUGAUCCAAAAACAAUGAACCCAUUUCAUGACGCAAUAUUUUAAUAAGGAAAAGCAACAGAAAACUCCAGCCAAGUCCCAAGUAUUCGACUCACAAUCAACUUCUAUUUCCUGUCGUCCAAGUGUUCAAGGAUUCCUCCCAGACACGUAUCAGCAUUUCACCAUCCACUGAGUUGAUCGCUGUUGUUAUUGGAUGUUUAAGGUCAUCGAGGUUAGCCGUUCAAAGCGUAGAAAACUCCUCUUUCAAACAGUCACUGACUCAUUCUAUGACGAUGUUUGAAAACUGAAGCAACGUGUCAUGAAAUCGGUUCAUUCUUUUUAAAUAACCCUGUAUGAGUUCAUCUUAAUUAUUGAAAUAAAGCCAUGUUACAGAUGUUCUGUCCGCUGUAUUUGUCUUCGAACUGUGAUGCAUUCAUCUGCUGUAAACCAUCACAUGUUGUGUUAAUCAUAACUUUUAUUCUGAAAACAAUAAACACUUUAAACAUCAAUCCUAGGAUCCACUGGUAA